rnacentral:rRNA from 1 species
CCUCUUCCCAUUCCGAACAGAGAAGUUAAGCCCCUCAUGGCCGAUGGUACUGCACUAUCAUGCGGGAGAGUAGGUAGCUGCCAUAU